GACGAACGCUGGCGGCGUGCUUAACACAUGCAAGUCGAACGGAAAGGCCCUGCUUUUGUGGGGUGCUCUAGUGGCGAACGUGUGAGUAACACGUGAGUAACCUGCCCUUGACUUUGGGAUAACUUCAGGAAACUGGGGCUCAUACCGGAUAGGAGCUCCUGCUGCAUGGUGGGGGUUGGAAAGUUUCGGCGGUUGGGGAUGGGCUCGCGGCUUAUCAGCUUGUUGGUGGGGUAGUGGCUUACCAAGGCUUUGACGGGUAGCCGGCCUGAGAGGGUGACAGGCCACAUUGGGACGGAGAUACGGCCCAGACUCCUACGGGAGGCAGCAGUGGGGAAUAUUGCACAAUGGGCGGAAGCCUGAUGCAGUAACGCCGCGUGCGGGAUGACGGCAUUCGGGUUGUAAACCGCUGUCGCCUGUGACGAAGAGUGAGUGACGGUAAUGGGUAAAGAAGCACCGGCUAACUACGUG
rnacentral:rRNA from 1 species